CUGCCAGUGGAGACCAGAAAGAUGGGGAAAUGUACAGGAAGAACACUCUUUCUCAGACCCCAUGGAUUGCAUUGUUCAUUGCUAUAUCAAGUGACCAUGCACUACAUCCA
rnacentral:lncRNA from 1 species